UCAAGAUCUACAUCAGAGUGCCCACUUUAG
rnacentral:piRNA from 1 species